AGCGAACGCUAGCGGCGGGCCUAACACAUGCAAGUCGAGCGGGGGAGCAAUCCCCAGCGGCGGACGGGUGAGUAACACGUAGGUUAUGUGCCCUUUGGUGGGGAAUAACCGUGGGAAACCAUGGCUAAUUCCGCAUAUCGAGCGAAAUCUUGAAAGCCUUCGGGCGCCAAAAGGAGCAACCUGCGGCCCAUUAGCUUGUUGGUAGGGUAACGGCCUACCAAGGCGAUGAUGGGUAGCUGGUCUGAGAGGAUGAUCAGCCACACUGGAACUGAGACACGGUCCAGACUCCUACGGGAGGCAGCAGUGGGGAAUAUUGCGCAAUGGGCGAAAGCCUGACGCAGCCACGCCGCGUGAGUGAUGAAGGCCUUCGGGUCGGUAAAACUACUGUCGGGAGGGGCGAAGGGGCGAACCCUCGACGGUACCUCGCAAGAAAGC
rnacentral:rRNA from 1 species